rnacentral:ncRNA from 1 species
GAAAAUUCUGAGAAGGGAAGAGUAAGUACUGGGUAGUAUCCAAAGUGAGUGAAGGAUGGUGGAAGCUUCAUGAGAAAGUCAAUACUGAAGGACAUCCUGGAGAAGUCUGCUUGAAAUUUAGUAGAGCAGAACGGGUUUUCCUCCGUUAAAGGGACCUAAGAUAACAUAUUAUAAAAUUUAUGUAAGUAGGAUGGUACCGCGAAAUCGGUCUUUCGCUCCUAUA